CCUACGGGAGGCAGCAGUAGGGAAUAUUGGACAAUGGGUGCGAGCCUGAUCCAGCCAUGCCGCGUGCAGGAAGAAGGCCUUCUGGGUUGUAAACUGCUUUUGCCGGGGGAUAAAAGACCCAUGCGUGGGGAAUUGAAGGUACCCGGUGAAUAAGCCACGGCUAACUACGUGCCAGCAGCCGCGGUAAUACGUAGGUGGCGAGCGUUGUCCGGAUUUAUUGGGUUUAAAGGGUGCGUAGGCGGCCCCGUAAGUCAGUGGUGAAAUACGGCAGCUCAACUGUCGAGGUGCCAUUGAUACUGCGGGGCUUGAGUACAGUCGAGGUAGGCGGAAUUGACGGUGUAGCGGUGAAAUGCUUAGAUAUCGUCAAGAACACCGAUAGCGAAGGCAGCUUGCUAGGCUGUAACUGACGCUGAGGCACGAAAGUGCGGGGAUCAAACAGGAUUAGAUACCCUGGUAGUCCGCACAGUAAACGAUGGUCACUCGGUGUUGGCGGUACACGGCCAGCGCCUUAGCGAAAGCGUUAAGUGACCCACCUGGGGAGUACGCCCGCAAGGGUGAAACUCAAAUGAAUUGACCGGNGNGNGACGNGCGAGACGACGACGAGGGAGAGG
rnacentral:rRNA from 1 species